rnacentral:rRNA from 1 species
GAUGAACGCUGGCGGCGUGCCUAAUACAUGCAAGUCGAGCGAACGGACGAGAAGCUUGCUCCUCUGAUGUUAGCGGCGGACGGGUGAGUAACACGUGGAUAACCUACCUAUAAGACUGGGAUAACUUCGGGAAACCAGAGCUAAUACCGGAUAAUAUUUUGAAUCGCAUGAUUCAAAAUUAAAAGACGGUCUUGCUCCACUUUCAGAUUGAACCGCGGUGGAUUAGCUAGUUUGUUAGGGAACCGCUUUCCAAGGCCAAGGUUCAUAACCGAACCUGAGGGGGGAAUGGCCCACACGGGAACGGGGAAACGCUCCGAACUCCUAGGGGAGGCACCAGAAGGGAAUCUUGCGCAAUGGGCGAAGGCCUGACGGGGAAACGCCGCGUGAGGGAUGAAGGUCUUCGGAUCGUAAAACUCUUUUAUUAGGGAAGAACAGAUGUGUAAGUAACUGUGCACAUCGUGACGGUACCUAAUCAGAAAGCCACGGCUAACUACGUG